CAAGUCAAAACAGUGAACAACUCUGUUGAUGUAUGCUUAGGCUGGAAAGAAAUUAUUAUACUAAUAAGUUGUUCAUUUAUAAAUUAUCUGUACUCUACUCAUAUAAUUUGCAAUAAUUAUAACCAUGUCCAAUAAUAAUAUUGUACAUUUGUACAGUUUUAUAGCUUACAACUCGUUUAAAAUCCUGAUAUUUUUUUUCUCUAAACAGAUGAAAUACUUUAUUGGGAAAAAUAUGAAUUUUAACUUUUGACAAAUAUUAAAAUGAAUUAAAAAAAAAGGUUUAUAUUUAUAGUUUUAAUUUUGUGUUUUAUACUAUAUAUUUUACUAGAAAACCAAAUUAGUAAUCAAUAUGGUGCAAAACAUUUUUAUGCACACCUUCAGAAUGUAUACAGCCACUUAGACAAGGAUUAUUUAUCUUUUAGUUAUGAUAAAAUGAACUACUUAGAUAGUAGUAACCCAGAAGUGUUACAGACAACUAAUAAGCUAACGAGUGAUAUGAAUAAAAAUUCCAAAGAAACAAAUGAAUGUGCUACUUUUUUAUUGAAUAGAACGUGCGUACCAAAUAUUGAUAUGCUAAAGGUUUAUGAUGCAUUGCCAUUUGAUAAUAUUGAUGGUGGGGCACGGAAACAAGACUGGAAUAUUCACAUUCUCCUAAUGAUCCUGGAUAGAAACACACUUUUGAAGAUUACUAUCGUAAAGAUACAAAAAAUAUAUUAAAUAAUAUGGUCAUCAAAUUGUCUGAAGACCAUAGACGUAAAUUUAUUUGGGCAGAAAUAUCCUAUUUUUCACUUUGGUGGAAAGAUAUAAAUCAAGCAACUAAAAAAAAGUGAAAAAGUUUAAUUACGAAUAGUCAAUUAGAAAUUGUUACUGGCGGUUGGGUUAUGACAGACGAGGCAAAUUCACACUAUUCUUCUAUGAUAACGCAACUUGUAAACGGACAUCAAUGCUAAAAGAAAAUUUGAAUAUUACCGCUAAACGACAAAUGCAGUCAUAGUAAUGCGAUGUUUACACACAUGAUGCCAUUUUAUAAUUACGAUAUACCUCAUACUUGCGGUCCUGAUCCAAGUAUUUGUUGUCAGUUUGACUUAAAGAGAUUACCCGGAUUUGGAAUCACUUGCCCGCGAAGAUUAUAUCCAGUACCGAUCACUCCUCAUAACGUUAAAUCAAAGUAAUAUUAGUAUAUAUUUUAUUUCACUGAUUUGUAAAAGCCAUAAAUGUUCAAACAAUUAAUAAUUACCGUUUUUAAU